rnacentral:rRNA from 1 species
UAAAGUUGUUGCAGUUAAAAAGCACGUAGUUGAAUUUCGGGGUCAGUAGGUUGGUCGUGCCUAUGGUAUGUACUGGCUUUACUGAUUCCUCCUUCUUGAAGAACUGUAAUGUCAUUAAUUUGGUGUUGCAGGGAAACAGGACUGUUACUUUGAAAAAAUUAGAGUGUUUAAAGCAGGCUAACGCUUGAAUACAUUAGCAUGGAAUAAUGAAAUAGNACGUUCGAUCCUAUUUUGUUGGUUUCUAGGAUUGACGUAAUGAUUAAUAGGG